UGGGGAAUUUUGGACAAUGGGCGAAAGCCUGAUCCAGCAAUGCCGCGUGUGUGAAGAAGGCCUUCGGGUUGUAAAGCACUUUUGUCCGGAAAGAAAUCCUUGGCUCUAAUACAGUCGGGGGAUGACGGUACCGGAAGAAUAAGCACCGGCUAACUACGUGCCAGCAGCCGCGGUAAUACGUAGGGUGCAAGCGUUAAUCGGAAUUACUGGGCGUAAAGCGUGCGCAGGCGGUUUGCUAAGACCGAUGUGAAAUCCCCGGGCUCAACCUGGGAACUGCAUUGGUGACUGGCAGGCUAGAGUAUGGCAGAGGGGGGUAGAAUUCCACGUGUAGCAGUGAAAUGCGUAGAGAUGUGGAGGAAUACCGAUGGCGAAGGCAGCCCCCUGGGCCAAUACUGACGCUCAUGCACGAAAGCGUGGGGGAGCAAACAGGAUUAGAUACCCUGGUAGUCCACGCCCCAAAACGAUGUCAACUAGUUGUUGGGGGAUUCAUUUUCCUUAGUAACGUAGCUAACGCGUGAAGUUGACCGCCUGGGGGAGUACGGUCGCAAGAUUAAAACUUAAAUGAAUUGACGGGGUCAUAGCUGUUUCCU
rnacentral:rRNA from 1 species